rnacentral:rRNA from 1 species
GAUGAACGCUGGCGGCGUGCCUAAUACAUGCAAGUCGAGCGGACGGACGAGAAGCUUGCUUCUCUGAUGUUAGCGGCGGACGGGUGUGUCACACGUGGAUAACCUACUUAUAAGACUGGGAUCACUUCGGGAAACCGGCGCUAAUACCGGAUAAUAUUUUGAACCGCAUGGUUCAAAAGUGAAAGUCGGUCUUGCUGUCACUUAUAGCUGGAUCCGCGCUGCAUUAGCUAGUUGGUACGGUAACGGCUUACCAAGGCAACGAUGCGUAGCCGACCUGAGAGGGUGAUCGGCCACACUGGAACGGAGACACGGUCCAGACGCCUACGGGAGGCAGCAGUAGGGAAUCUGCCGCAAUGGGCGAAAGCCUGACGGAGCAACGCCGCGUGAGUGAUGAAGGUCUUCGGAUCGUAAAACUCUGUUAUUAGGGAAGAACAUAUGUGUAAGUAACUGUGCACAUCUUGACGGUACCUAAUCAGAAAGCCACGGCUAACUACGUG